rnacentral:misc_RNA from 1 species
UCUCCGUUGGUGAACCAGCGGAGGGAUCAUUACAGAGUUUUCACAACUCCCAACCCUUGCGAACCGUACCCAUUCUGUUCUCGUUGCUUCCGGCGGGGGGGACGGGGGGGCCCGAAACGGCCUCCCCGCCCCGCCCGCCGGGGGCGUCGUGCCCUACGAACCUUUAUAUCUCAACCACCAGAUACCGUCUGAGUAAACAAACAAAAUAAUCAAAACUUUCAACUACCGUCCUCUUAGAUCUGGCAUCGAUGAAAAACCACGCAGAUCGGAAGAACACAC